UCGGAGACGGUGCUCGUGCGGGCGGUGAUGCGACACGCGUAUCCGAAAGACUCUCGGCAACGGAUAUCUCGGCUCUUGCAUCGAUGAAGAACGUAGCGAAAUGCGAUACUUGGUGUGAAUUGCAGAAUCCCGUGAACCAUCGAGUCUUUGAACGCAAGUUGCGCCCGAAGCCAUUAGGUUGAGGGCACGCCUGCCUGGGUGUCGCCCAUCGUUGCCCCAUUGCUUUGGCCUCGUGCUAGGCACCGAGCUGGGCGAAUGCUGGCUUCCCGGGAGCAACGCCUCACGGUUGGUUGAAAACUGAGUUCGUGGUGGAGGGCGGCGCCGUGACGGAUGGUGGUUGUU
rnacentral:rRNA from 1 species